rnacentral:rRNA from 1 species
CUUAAAUGAAUUGACGGGGCCGCACAAGCGGUGGAGCACGUGGUUAAUUCGAAGCAACGCGAAGAACCUUACCAGGUCUUGACAUCCCGAUGCUAUUUCUAGAGAUAGAAAGUUACUUCGGUACAUCGGUGACAGGUGGUGCAUGGUUGUCGUCAGCUCGUGUCGUGAGAUGUUGGGUUAAGUCCCGCAACGAGCGCAACCCCUAUUGUUAGUUGCCAUCAUUCAGUUGGGCACUCUAGCGAGACUGCCGGUAAUAAACCGGAGGAAGGUGGGGAUGACGUCAAAUCAUCAUGCCCCUUAUGACCUGGGCUACACACGUGCUACAAUGGUUGGUACAACGAGUUGCGAGUCGGUGACGGCGAGCUAAUCUCUUAAAGCCAAUCUCAGUUCGGAUUGUAGGCUGCAACUCGCCUACAUGAAGUCGGAAUCGCUAGUAAUCGCGGAUCAGCACGCCGCGGUGAAUACGUUCCCGGGCCUU